rnacentral:rRNA from 1 species
GUCUACGGCCAUACCACGUUGAAAACACCGGUUCUCGUCUGAUCACCGAAGUUAAGCAACGUCGGGCCCGGUUAGUACUUGGAUGGGUGACCGCCUGGGAAUACAGGGUGCUGUAGACU